rnacentral:lncRNA from 1 species
GGCCGCGGGGCGGCAGGGACGACAGGGUAGCCGCGGGCGCGGGAGAUCAGCCGCCUCCAGACCAUAUGUGGGGGGAAGGAGGGCUGCCGGCGGGCAACGGAGACAGCGCUGCUGGUGGUGCGUGGGGGCUUGUGACGAUGGAUGGGAUGGGAUGGAUGCUUGGAAGUAGGAAGCGGAGGAGCAAGAGGAGUGCAACUGCCAGCAGCCAGCUCCGUCUGGAUACAUGAGCGCUGAGGUCUUGAUCUGAUCUGAUCUGCUCGACGGGAGUGAGAGGCGGUGGCGGUGGUGGGUGAGAGAGAGGUGUCGGGUGCCGGGGAGAAGGCUGCGUCGGCGAGCGCGGGCG